rnacentral:rRNA from 1 species
AUCAAGUGUCUUAAGAGCAUUCGGUGGAUGCCUUGGCGCUGAGAGGCGAUGAAGGACGUGGUACGCUGCGAUAAGCCU